GAUGGGCUCGCGGCCUAUCAGCUUGUUGGUGAGGUAACGGCUCACCAAGGCUUCGACGGGUAGCCGGCCUGAGAGGGCGACCGGCCACACUGGGACUGAGAUACGGCCCAGACUCCUACGGGAGGCAGCAGUGGGGAAUAUUGCACAAUGGGCGCAAGCCUGAUGCAGCAACGCCGCGUGUGGGAUGACGGCCUUCGGGUUGUAAACCACUUUCAGCUAGGACGAAGCGCAAGUGACGGUACUAGCAGAAGAAGCACCGGCCAACUACGUGCCAGCAGCCGCGGUGAUACGUAGGGUGCGAGCGUUGUCCGGAAUUAUUGGGCGUAAAGGGCUCGUAGGCGGUUCAUCACGUCGGAAGUGAAAACUCGGGGCUUAACCCCGAGCCUGCUUCCGAUACGGGUGAACUAGAGGUAUGCAGGGGAGAAUGGAAUUCCUGGUGGAGCGGUGGAAUGCGCAGAUAUCAGGAGGAACACCAGUGGCGAAGGCGGUUCUCUGGGCAUUACCUGACGCUGAGGAGCGAAAGCGUGGGGAGCAAACAGGCUUAGAUACCCUGGUAGUCCACGCCGUAAACGGUGGGCACUAGGUGU
rnacentral:rRNA from 1 species